GACAGAGGAUGCAAGCGUUAUCCGGAAUGAUUGGGCGUAAAGCGUCUGUAGGUGGCUUUUUAAGUCCGCCGUCAAAUCCCAGGGCUCAACCCUGGACAGGCGGUGGAAACUACCAAGCUGGAGUACGGUAGGGGCAGAGGGAAUUUCCGGUGGAGCGGUGGAAAUGACGCAGAUAUCAGGAGGAACACCGGUGGCGAAGGCGGGUCUCUGGGCCGAUACUGACGCUGAGGAGCGAAAGCA
rnacentral:rRNA from 1 species